UGCGAUGACGAUCUACAUAUAAUCUCGUUAAUCCGACUAUCUAAUGAGGAUAACUCAAUCAUUCAUUCUAUCUGAGC